CCCUUAGAUGUUCUGGGCCGCACGCGCGCUACACUGAUGCAUUCAACGAGUCUAAAACCUGCUCUGAUAGGGGUGGGUAAUCUUUUGAAUGUGCAUCGUGAUUGGGAUAGAUGAUUGCAAUUUUUCAUCUUCAACGAGGAAUGCCUAGUAAACGCAAGUCAUCAGCUUGCAUUGAUUACGUCCCUGCCCUUUGUACACACCGCCCGUCGCUCCUACCGAUUGAAUGAUCCGAUGAAUAUCAUGGAUUGAGGAUUAUAGCAGGUUCGCCUGUCUUGAUCUUCGAGAAGUGAAGUAAAUCUUAUCAUUUAGAGGAAGCAGAAGUCGUAACA
rnacentral:rRNA from 1 species